CUGAUGAGAAAAACGGUGAUGACAAAUGGUAUUUACUGCUCUCUCACAGACCCAGGAUGCUGCACUGGAGCACAAGGAGCACCCGGUACAGGUCCUGCUGUGCCAGCCAGAGGGACUCUACCAUGAUUUCAGCAAGACCUGGAUUUAUUGCUUUCUCAUUUCAGCAUGAAAGCAUUAGGGAGAGGCGUGCUGAGUCUCUUCUGCAAAGGGUAGGAUCCGGACCUCAGAGCCAUAACACACCCUCAAACUAUUUACUGCUGAAAACCUUGGCCCCUUGAAGAAAACAUUGACAAACAGCUCAGAUGGUUCCAUGGAGAGAAAAGAGGUGCCAGGAUCCCACCAUGCAGUGCUCGGCAGGAUAGGUCACCAAGAAAAGGAUGUGCAGAAUUUGGCCCAUUAUGUGGGCGGCUGUCUAGAAUGGGAAGACUGAAAACCAGGAAAAUAAGUGAAAAGUGCACACAUAAAUGCCCAACAUACUGUAUUGGCCAGAAACGGGUGUCUCCUUCUAUGCAGAAUCUGGGGCCAGAUCCCAAUCUCUGCUGCCUUCUGCCUUUGGAGCAAUAAAUUUGGGUGAGUGCAUUUUGUAAUAUUAGAAGUUGCCCAAAAUUUAAUUAAUUUGAAUAAAGAAAAAAAAUAGUAUAAUUUCCAUAAAUGCUGCAGGUUGAGAAGACACCAAGAUGUGAACCGCCCCUGGUUUCAGGUUUGCAAACCAAAAACUUGCCCAGUAUUUUGUGCAAUCAAAACCACACCCCUUUCCCUUCAGUUCUGAUUUAUUAACUAGAAAGCUGUCAUAUCAUUCCCUCUCUCCAUGGUUGCUAGUACUAUCUACAGUUUGAGAUAGCAUAAAAGAAAGCUUGCUGUGCCAAAGAUGGCAGUGAUUAUCUUUUUCAUUUUUUAACAUGGUUAUCAUUUUCAUAUUUCUGUGUUUUCCAGUUCUGAAAUGAAUCAUACGAGGAAAAAAAUAAAAACCUUCAUAUUAAAUUGGUCUCAGAACACGAAGAAAAAAACAUCCACCACACCCUGUGAUUAAUUCAUUAAUCCCUUUCAAAACAAGUAAUCUAAUUAGCUUGCAAACAAGAACAUGAUGCAUACGUGGCUCUUCAAAUAGUGUUGACAUACUGAAUAGUUCAGAUUCCUGUGAUACACAGCCUUUCACUUGCUGCUUCCAGUUCCAGUAAGACCCAAGACCAGAAUGUUUUUGCUUUCGAAGGUCACUUGAUGCUCAAUAUGCAAUGAGCUUGUGGUCCAAGGCUGGGAUGUAAAGAACACAUCUAUUCAAAGAAAGUUGAAAUUUCAAGUGCCUCUAACUGGCAGCCCUAAACACUGUUGACUAAAAAUUAUGCAGAUGGUAGAAGAUGUGAACGUGUCAUUUGGCCUCUUCAUAAGCACUAAAACUCAAUCAAAAGUUCAAUAGUUCAUGCCAUAUAUAUGUAUUUGUACACACGGAGAAAGAGAGCCGAGGGAAGCAGGCUGCCGGGUGGAGAAUGCAAGGGGAGAGAGGUCUGUCAGCUCAGCUGAGAGAGCUGCAGCACACGAGAGCCCACAGAGCAGCAGUAAGGAUAAUUAAGGGUAAUAGUCUGGGGGCAGGGGCAGGAACCGGAGCUGAAUUUCAUGUGCACCUACCAUCCAACUGAAAGGCAAUCCAGAAAAAGUACCCAAUAAAAACAUUGCCAUUCUAUUUUUAAUGACACCGUUAGCUUUUAAAAUUUCAGAAAGAUCAACCAGGAUAAACAGGCUGGUUUUAAUCUCGUAUUUUAGUACCUUUUGUCCUUAGGUGACGGUUUGAUUUUUUUCCCCUGUGUAUGUCUGACUUUGCUGUCAUGUCACAAAAUCUCAGAAAUGGGACUGAGGUGAGCCUGUGGUAACCAUCAAAGUCUCAGUCAAGGAACCCAAACUCUCAGUCCUUUCAGCUAAAGGAGGUGCUGCUGUGCUGAAUUAAUCCUUGUCAUCACCCAACAGAGAGAACUUUAAUUUCUCAUACUGACUUCUUGACAUUUUGCUAACAUUUUUUUGGCACAGACUCUUAUAUAACUGGAAUAUUUUUUUUUUCAUAGUUCAACCCAGAAGAUAAUUUAGAUGCUAGCUACGUUGUUCAUUACUUUGUUUAUUUCAGAAAUCUGUAGGGAACACAAUCAGUUACUGAGAAUUAAAUUCUCCCACUGACUGCUGAAAAAAGAGGAAAGGUAUAAAUGCUACAGUAAAGACAAGGAAGGUGAAUGAUCUAUCACAUCUACCCAUGUCUGAUGAAGCGUCUUCCGUCAUGCCUAAUACUUUGUCAGUGGCUGGGAUGGGUGGAGACUAGCAUGGGAAAAUACAUAGACACCUUAUGGGUUGUGAAAUGGUUCUUGCAUUGGUUCCCUGCACAUGAGCUGAAUCAGAAAGCUGUUAUGGGGCGGCCUUGUAGAAGAUUAUGGGAAAGGCCAGAGAUUCGGGUUCAUGUGCAUCCAGUCACGCUAAUAAAACAGAAGGGAGGUUCAUGAGUGCAUUGAUGGUUGUGAAUGACCAAUGUAAGAGUAAAUCACAAACGGAUGGAAUUUGUCCUAUAGAAGCUGCCCAGUAAGAAACUUCUUGAACUUCCAAGAACAUGGUCUGGAAGCAAUCAGAGCACUCAAUAUGUGUGAAACGCAGGGCUGGUAAACAGCACUGUUUGUCAAAAACCAAAACUUCUGUCCUUUGGGUAAUCCUGAAGUUCCAAAUAUUUUCUUCCACUACUGGGCUGGAACAAAAAUAGAAGUAGAAAUACCAGAUUUUUAAUGAAAAACUAGUUUUGUAAGAUUGAAUUGCAUUCCAGGUGUACCGUUUUUACUCAAAGAAGUACAAGAAUAAUCAUGUCCAACCAAAAGGUAUUGAAUGUAGGGAAGCAAAAUGCUUUGCUCUUUUUUCCCCUACAAGGUGUGGAGAGAAGUAUGUUCUCACUGAACAGUCAGUCUCACUCAGACCGAUAUUUCUCAACAGAAAACUUGUUCCUUUUGCAUUGCUGUGACAAAACCUAGUCAGAGAUUUCAUGUAUACCCUGUUCAGAUAUAUUUUCAUACCAAUGAGUAACAUUGGAAGCCUGGCAGAUGAAAAAUUGGUAUGAUCAUCUGACUAAGGAGAUUAUGAAGAAAUACAGACAAAACCCAGUGUUACAUCCUUUGAAGAUCUACAAGGCCUAGCAGUUUUUUCAGGGUGCUUGUAUGUCCAUCAUCAAUGCAGUUAUUGGGGAUGUUUAAGUUACAGAUAAGUGCCCUGGAUCUGAGGCACUGGGGCUGAGGUUGAGUGGAAAAGUGAACACAAAAGAGUUUCAGCCUCUGCAGGUGCAGACUCCUUCAGAGCCUUAUCACAUCUCUGUGUUGUGCCCCCAGGGCUUUCAGCCUGGAGUCAGCAGUUGGCAGCCCAGUCUCAGCCUCCCAUGAAGGCACCAAGGCUGUUGCUGGCCUGAAGUGACUUUGAAAAUGUCAUGAAGCUGCAUUUUCUUGACACUGCACAUGAGCUAAGAAAUCCUGUCAAUGGGAAAACUGGAGACAUCUCCACAUCCAGCACAUGGCUAAGUUUCAAGGUACGGUCUCCCAGGCGAUGUACUGUCAUUUCUACUUAUGUUCCCCUGUGAGCAAGGCCAGUCUUUUCAUGACCAUUGUGCAGAGCAGGAAAGAGGAGCCAUGUACAUUUAGACAUGUAGCUCUCAGCAAGUUAAUGAAAACUACUUACAAGUUAGAUCAUAGAGGACCUGACUGAUUUGCCUAAAACAGAACAGAAAGACUGUGGUAGAAGACAAACUUCAGUUUGCAUGAUUUGUACCUAAUGCCAAGAAAACCAGCAUCUCAAAUAGGUUAUGCGUUUUCGCACUAAUACAGUCAUAUCCAGCCAGAUCACAGCACAAGCAAGGCAAAGUUAGUCUGUCUGCAGAAAGAUGGACAUACUCUUAGUCUGUUUAGCCAAGUGUUUUCUGUUUCAAGCUUCUAUGUAAAUUCAAUUAUAUGUUAUAUUUAGUCUUCUUACAUACUUUUUUUCUGCUCUACAUUAAAUAUUUUGAUUCUUUUCUUUUAAGCACGCAGGUUUGGAAUCUGCUAUAAUGGAAAGAGCAGAUACUGCAGCAAUAUUUGACAUGGGCAGACACAGGUGGGAGCCUUCUCACUUAUCUUUGACCCAUUCCCAUACCUCAAAAGUGUUUUAAAAGGUAAAAUCCCACCAGUUUUUACAAGCUGUAUAAAUAGCCAUACUAUUUUUCCAAAGUGAAAUCUGCUCAGCAGUUCCUCUUGCUGCACAAGACUAUCCUUUUUGACUUAGAAGAACAACUUAUUUGAUGUUUUGCAAAUUACCUGGUCCCUAAAGGUUUGUCUUCUAAAAGGCAGAUGUACAGAACACAAAUUAUACUGAGAAAUGUAUAAGCAUAGUGAGAUCACUUGAAUUCCUUUUUCUAAUCAUAUAAAGUGGGCCCAGAAAUUUCAAUGUGGG